rnacentral:rRNA from 1 species
GUAGUCUGCAACUCGACUACAUGAAGCUGGAAUCGCUAGUAAUCGCGGAUCAGAAUGCCGCGGUGAAUACGUUCCCGGGUCUUGUACACACCGCCCGUCACACCAUGGGAGUCGGUAACACCCGAAGCCAGUAGCCCAACCGCAAGGAGGACGCUGUCGAAGGUGGGAUUGAUAACUGGGGUGAAGUCGUAACAAGGUAAC